rnacentral:rRNA from 1 species
UACAGAGGUCCCAAGCGUUGUUCGGAAUCACUGGGCGUAAAGGGUGCGUAGGCGGCGCGGAAAGUCAGGGGUGAAAUCCCGGAGCUCAACUCCGGAACUGCCUUUGAUACUCCCGCGCUUGAGAACUGGAGUGGAGACCGGAAUUCACGGUGGAGCAGUGAAAUGCGUGGAUAUCGUGAGGAACACUAGUGGCGAAGGCGGGUCUCUGGACAGUAUCUGACGCUGAGGCACGAAGGCCAGGGGAGCGAACGGG